rnacentral:rRNA from 1 species
UACGAAGGGGGCUAGCGUUGCUCGGAAUCACUGGGCGUAAAGCGCACGUAGGCGGAUCUUUAAGUCAGGGGUGAAAUCCUGGAGCUCAACUCCAGAACUGCCUUUGAUACUGGGGAUCUCGAGUCCGGAAGAGGUGAGUGGAACUCCGAGUGUAGAGGUGAAAUUCGUAGAUAUUCGCAAGAACACCAGUGGCGAAGGCGGCUCACUGGCCCGGUACUGACGCUGAGGUGCGAAAGCGUGGGGAGCAAACAGG